rnacentral:rRNA from 1 species
UACGUAGGUGGCAAGCGUUGUCCGGAUUUACUGGGUAUAAAGGGAGCGCAGGCGGGAUAGCAAGUCAGCGGUGAAAUGCAAAGGCUUAACCUUUGAACUGCCGUUGAAACUGUUAUUCUUGAGUGAAGUAGAGGCAAGCGGAAUUCCGAGUGUAGCGGUGAAAUGCGUAGAUAUUCGGAGGAACACCAGUGGCGAAGGCGGCUUGCUGGGCUUUUACUGACGCUGAGGCUCGAAAGUGUGGGUAG